ensembl:lncRNA
CCCCUCUGUUUUUUGUUUGUUUUGUGACUCAUAUGGAGAACACUCUAAGCUUUCCACAAACUCCCCACAGAACAAUACAAGUCUGGAAGAGAGAGAAAGAGAGAGAGAUACAGAGAGAGAGAAAGAGAGAGAGAGAAAGAGAGCGAGAGAGAGACAGAGAGAGAGAAAGAGAGAGAGAGAAAGAGAGCGAGAGAGAGAGAAAGAGAGAGAGAUACAGAGAGAGAGAAAGAGAGAGAGAGAAAGAGAGAGAGAGAAAGAGAGAGAAAGAGAAAGCGAGAGAGAGAAAGAGAGAGACAGAGAGAGAGACAGAGCGAGAGAGAGAGAGAGAGAGACAGAGAGAGACAGAGAGAGAGAGAGGGGGAGAGAGAGAGAGAGAGAGGGGGAGAACAGAAAGAAAUGCCCACUUGCCAGUUGGUGUUUUAUAUCUUGUUUCUGCGGCGACAUCAAACUGCCACACAACAAGCUGUUACUAACCAUCUGGUCAUCAUGACGCUAUACAAACAAACAAACAGAAAUAUAAUUCUUAAGACUUGAUCUUAAAUGACACCCUAUUCCCUAUCUAGUGCACUACUUCUACAUACACUGUUCGAUAAGAAUGUGCAAAAAAGGUUCCUCGGUUGUCUCCAUAGGAGAACCCUUUGAAGAACCUUUUUUGGUUCCUGGUAGAACCCUUUUGGUUCCAGGUAGAACCCCUUUGAGUUCCAUGUAGAACCCUUUUCACAGAGGUUUCACCAUGGAGCCCAAAAGAGUUUUACCUGGAACUAAAAAGGGUUCUACCAGGAACCAAAAAGGUUCUACCAGGAACCAAAAAGGGUUCUUACCAGGAACCAAAAAGGGUUCUUCAAUGGGUAAAUUGUCUCUGGUCAAAAGUAGUGCACUGGAAUAGUGAGACACUGUCAUCUGAGAUUUGUUCACACUCUCUAAAGCAACAGUAUGUUGAAGUGUUAAUCUGUAUAUACCAUGUAAAUACCAUCAAACUGCCUGUAUUCAUAUUACAUAUGGAGCUGAUAGCAUGAUUAGGGCCAGGAGUUUUUUAUGGAGAUACAUUUCUGUCAAACCAUUUCAUUAAUUCACAACAUUUUGACUGAUAUCUAUCACCGUAGUGUUCCUCACCACAUCACCUGAACAUGCAAGACAAUCUCUGGGCCCUAGUUAAAUGCUGUCGUAAAGCAAAUAGCCUACAACUAUUACUAGUAGGGGCCUGGAAUUUGUCCAAGUCAGGUCACGCGGUCAGGGAAAACUCCUGGCCCUAAGUAUACUGAACAAAAAUAUAAACGCAGCAAUUUCAAAGGUUUUACUGAGUUACAGUUCAUAGAAGGAAAUCAGUCAAUUGACAUACAUUCACAAGGCCCUGAUCUCUGGAUUUCACAUGACUGGGCAGGGGUGCCAGGCCCAGACAAUCAGAAUGUGUUUUCCCCCACAAUAGGGGUUUAUUACAGACAGAAAUACUCCUCAGUUUCAUCAGCUGUCCGGGUGAUGGGUGACUGAUCUCAGACGAUCCCACAGGUGAAGAAGUCGGAUGUUGAGGUCCUGGGCUGGCGUUGUUGCACGUGAUUGGCGGUUGUGAGGCCGGUUGGAAGUACUGCCAAAUUCUUUAAAACAACAUUGGAGGCGGUUCACUGUAGAGAAAUGAACAUUCAAUUCCCUGGCAACAGCUCUGGUGGACAUUCCUGCAGUCAGCAUGCCAAUUGCACGCUCCCUCAAAACUUGAGACAUCUGUGGCAUUGGGUUGUGUGACAAAACUGCCUUUUAUUGUCCCCCAGCACAAGGUGCACCUGUGCCAAUUGCACGCUCCCUCAAAACUUGAGACAUCUGUGGCAUUGGGUUGUGUGACAAAACUGCCUUUUAUUGUCCCCCAGCACAAGGUGCACCUGGUCAUGCUGUUUAAUCAGCUUCUUGAUAUGCCACACCUGUCAGGUGAAUGGAUUACCUUGGCAAAGGAGAAAUGCUCACUAACAUGGAUGUAAACAAAUUUGUGCACAAAAUCUGAGAGAAAUAAGCUUUUCAUGCGUAUGGAAAAUGUCUGGGAUCUUUUAUUUCAGCUCACGAAACAUGUGACCAACACUUUACAUGUUGCGUAUAUAUUUUUGUUCAGUGUAUAACAGAGAACUAGAAAACUGCUCCCAGAGCUGUGGCUGUACAGGACCAGGACUCAUAACCACAAAGCAUCUCAGAGCAGGAGUGCUGAUCUAGGAUCAGGUCCACCCUGUAUCCAUGUAAUCUUAUUCAUUAUGAUUUAAAAGUGAAAACUGAUCCUAGAUUAGUACUCUUGCUCUGAGACGCUUUGUGUAAAUGGGCCCAGGACAGGAAUAAAGUUUGAAGUAAAAACCGCGUACAGAAAACGCCCCCUUACCCACACAAAAUAAGUGGUUGGAGUAUUACACUACUCAAAAGAGAAAGAAAGAGAGAGUUCUUGAAAUUAUUCUAUUUUUGUUAUUUCUCAUUGGAAGGACAUCAUUUAAAUAAAAAAUUGUAAGUGCAUAUAUUAUGAUUAGGAAAGUUAUCCACCUUCAUUUUCAGAUCCAGCAGUAUGGUUUAUGUAGCUGUUGGUUGAAACACAUGCAGCUAUAUAUGUCUUGCC